GCACGGGGGUAGCGAUACUCUAGUGGCGGACGGGUGAGUAAUGCGUAGGAAUCUGCCCUGCAGUGGGGGACAACUUGGGGAAACCCAAGCUAAUACCGCAUACGCACGGAAGAGGAAAGCGGGGGAUCGCAAGACCUCGCGCUGUGGGAUGAGCCUACGUCCGAUUAGCUAGUUGGUGGGGUAAAGGCCUACCAAGGCGAUGAUCGGUAGCUGGUCUGAGAGGACGACCAGCCACACUGGGACUGAGACACGGCCCAGACUCCUACGGGAGGCAGCAGUGGGGAAUAUUGGACAAUGGGCGCAAGCCUGAUCCAGCAAUGCCGCGUGGGUGAAGACGGCCUGCGGGUUGUAAAGCCCUUUAGGCGGGGAGGAACGGCGUCGUGUAAACAAUGCGGCGUUCUGACGUUACCCGCGGAAUAAGCACCGGCUAACUCCGUGCCAGCAGCCGCGGUAAUACGGAGGGUGCGAGCGUUAAUCGGAAUUACUGGGCGUAAAGCGUGCGUAGGCGGAUGGGUCAGUCAGCCGUGAAAGCCCCGGGCUCAACCUGGGAACGGCGGUUGAGACGGCCCGUCUAGAGUGGGCUAGAGGAUCGUGGAAUUCCGGGUGUAGCGGUGAAAUGCGUAGAGAUCCGGAGGAACACCGAUGGCGAAGGCAGCGAUCUGGGGCCACACUGACGCUGAGGCACGAAAGCGUGGGGAGCAAACAGGAUUAGAUACCCUGGUAGUCCACGCGGUAAACGAUGAGCACUAGACGCUGGGGGGGUGACCUUUCGGUGUCGUAGCUAACGCGCUAAGUGCUCCGCCUGGGGAGUACGGCCGCAAGGUUGAAA
rnacentral:rRNA from 1 species